GAUGAAGAACGUAGUGAAAUGCGAUAAGUAAUGUGAAUUGCAGAAUUCAGUGAAUCAUCGAAUCUUUGAACGCACAUUGCGCCCGCCAGUAUUCUGGCGGGCAUGCCUGUUCGAGCGUCAUUUCAACCAUCAAGCCCCAGGCUUGUGUUGGGGACCUGCGGCUUCCGCAGGCCCUGAAAACCAGUGGCGGGCUCGCUGUCACACCGGGCGUAGUAGAUUUUAUCUCGCUCAGGGCGUGCUGCGGGUUCCGGCCGUUAAAAAGCCUUUUUUACCCAAGGUUGACCUCGGAUCAGGUAGGAAGACCCGCUGAACUUAAGCAUAUCAAUAAGCGGAGGA
rnacentral:misc_RNA from 1 species